CCACGAGAACUCUGUGAGAUAAUCAAUAGUUAUUGUUAUAGGAAGCCGCUGCACUUUGGCCCAAGGAAAGCAGAGGCUGGAGGCUGAGGUUGGAGUCCCAGGAGCCCUGUGCCCCCACUCCAGGGCUCUUGGCCGCCAGAGCCUCGAGACUGGAGCCCUGUAAGCUUCAAAAGCAGAUACUUAAAAGAUGACAGUAUCAGUCUCCCAAAGACCUGGGCACCUUCUCCCCACUGUAAAUACCUACGACGGCCAGCUGCAAGAGGUCUCUGAGAAGCAGAGUUUGAAAACUCCUGUUUCACCCACUGAAGGAGGGGUGGGCCUCCGCCUUGGAUCCUGCGGUUGCCACGUGAGGCUGCUCAGGGGAGGUGGGGACAGCGUCCCAUCUCCAAAGACGCCACGAAACCCCCGGCUGAACUAAAAGGAAGGAAAAUCUUUAAAUGCCUCAAAGGUGGAGAGGAUAAAAUCACUUUUAGUCUUGUUCAAAGUCUUGUUCACUCCACGCAGCCAUCCAAGGGUACCAGGGCAUCUUUGCUGUGGCCAUUACAACCGAGAGGCUCAGAGAAGGGUGGUGUCUCCCUACAGAAAUGUCUUCCCAGCACUUCUUAGGGAAUGCUUACAUUUUAAUGAGUCCCGAGAAAACUUAAUCAAGAAGGUGGGAAAACUGGAACAAGUAUUAUAAUUCUCCUGCAACGACUAAAGCUUAACGAUCUGUGUAGAGACGGAAAAAAGUAAAAAGAAGAAAAAAAAAAUCUACGUAGGAGUGUCGCUUGUUCCAGGCACACAUUGGCGUCAGGCAAGAGCCGCCUUGGGGAGCGGAAGGUGAAGGCGACGCUUCCGGGAACCGGGGCCGGAACUUCCGCAGGGCGGUCAUCACGGCCCGUGUCAGCAGCGGACUGUGGGUGUGCGCGUGCUUAGGGCUUGUCUGCGCCAAGCGCCAGUCACUCCUGCAAAUAAAAUAAAUAUUGAUAGG
rnacentral:lncRNA from 1 species